ACACAGGACUUGAGAGAUACUUGGUGGAGCCAGAAAAGCUUAUGGAAAGCAAGAAUAUUUGUUUAAGUUGAAAUCAAGACCUUCCUUCUCCUUGAUAGAGGCUCCCAGAUAUAAGGUAUUGGGGGCUAUCUCACCAGAGAGCAUACUAAAGGGAAGAUGGGGCCAGUGAAAGAAUGGAUCAUCUGUUGCAAAAUAUCUGGGAAUCCCUGCCUGCAACUCAGCACUUCCAGCGUUGGUUGGAGCCAGUGCUGCGUUUGGCAGGGCAGAGUGGCAGGAAGUGCCCCACGGUCCUGGGGCAGUGCUGUGCCACUGCACCGACACCUGAAGCCCGAGCUGCCGCUGCACCUUGAGUUCCGUGAGCCGGUGCCUUCCCUGGAUGUCUCCUAGUACUUGCGUCCAAAGCGUGCUUGCUGCUGCGCCGACCCAGACUCUGAAGAGGCUCUCAGAUGCACUGUUGGCCUAAAGAAACUUUUAAAAAGACUUAACUUUUUUAGAGCAGUUUUAGGUUCACAGCGAAAUUAAGAGGAAGAUACA